rnacentral:rRNA from 1 species
GGGGAAUAUUGCACAAUGGAGGAAACUCUGAUGCAGCAACGCCGCGUGAAGGAAGAAGGUUUUCGGAUCGUAAACUUCUAUCGAUAGGGAAGAAAGAAAUGACGGUACCUAAAUAAGAAGCCCCGGCUAACUACGUGCCAGCAGCCGCGGUAAUACGUAGGGGGCAAGCGUUAUCCGGAAUUACUGGGUGUAAAGGGAGCGUAGGCGGCAUGGUAAGUUAGAUGUGAAAGCCCGGGGCUUAACCCCGAGGAUUGCAUUUAAAACUAUCAAGCUAGAGUACAGGAGAGGAAAGCGGAAUUCCUAGUGUAGCGGUGAAAUGCGUAGAUAUUAGGAAGAACACCAGUGGCGAAGGCGGCUUUCUGGACUGAAACUGACGCUGAGGCUCGAAAGCGUGGGGAGCGAAC